CUGGAUCAUCACUUCUUUACUACAUUUCCCAGAAUCCUCUUUGACUCCUAGUCCCAUCUAACUUGCUGCCUCAUUGGCCAAACAGUACUUUAUUCAACAAUCAAUAAGAUGAACAUACACAGAAGUACAUUCCCCAUCACUCCAGAGAGCCUCUAAGGCAGAGAGAGCCAUCAGAGGCCACAGUCGAGGAUGAAGGAGAGCUGGGACUCCCUGUGCCUAGCCUACUUCCCGCCACCUACCUUAUGGGAAAAGCCUUGAUCAGGCUGGCUGCCACAUGGCAGCCUGCCAGCCCUGACCUCCACUUACUUUGAGUAAAUCUGGAGCCCAAGACAGGGCUUCUUUGUGUAGCAGACCUGGCUGUCCUGGAACUAGCUCUGUGGACCAGGCUAACCUCGAACUCACAGAGAUCUGCCUCCAGAGUGCUGGAACUAACGGUGUACGCUACCACCACCCAGCACAACACAGUUUCACCGGCUAAUAGCUGACUCCGAGUUUUUAUUAUUAAGGCCAAAGAGAAUUCGUGCUACAAGGAUUGGUUAUAACCUAUCUGGCAUAUCUAUUGACAGGCUGCUGGAACAUUGUGUGAACUAAGAGUAUACCCCUAGUGGGAAUGCAGGGAUAUGACAGGUGGUAAGAAGGUCCUUGCCUAGGCAGGGGUGUGAUGGUUAACAUUGGACAUCAUCUUAAGAAGAAGGAGCCUCAAUUCAAGAAUGGGCCUCUAUCAGAUUGGCUUGUGGGCAUGUCUGCAGGGUAUUUUCUUGCUUGAUAGCUGAUGUAGGAGGGCCAGGCCCACUAUGGGUGGUACCAUCCCUAGGCAGGUGGGCCCCAGCUAUAUAAGGCUAGUAAGCAGUGUUCCACCAUGGUCUCUGCUUUGGUUCUUGCCUCCACAUUCCUGCCUUGAGUUCUUGCCCUGGCUUCCUUCAAUAAUGAACUGUAACCUGUAAGCCAAAUAAAUCCU
rnacentral:lncRNA from 1 species